rnacentral:rRNA from 1 species
CCUACGGGUGGCAGCAGUAGGGAAUAUUGCACAAUGGGCGAAACCCUGAAGCAGCAAUGCCGCGUGUAGGAUGAAGGUUUUCGGAUUGUAAACUCCUUUCAUUAGAGAGGAUAAUGACGGUAUCUAACGAAUAAGCACCUGCUAACUCCGUGCCAGCAGCCGCGGUAAUACUGCGGGUGCAAGCGUUAAUCGGAAUCACUGGGGGGAAAGAGAGCGGAGGCGGUAGAGCGAGUCAGAUGUGAAAUCCGCUGGCUUAACCAUAGAACUGCAUUUGAAACUGUUAUUCUAGAGUCUGGGAGAGGUAGGUAGAAUUCCUUGUGUAGGGGUAAAAUGCGUAGAGAUGAAGAGGAAUACUCGUUGCGAAGGCGACCUGCUAGAACAUAACUGACGCUGAUGUGCGAAAGCGUGGGGAGCAAACAGGAUUAGAUACCCUAGUAGUC